AGCAGCAACUUUGGAGGACAAACCAUUCCUGCCAAGGAUCAGUGGCCACAGCCACUGAAGACACACUGAGCACUGCUGGUGAGAGCAUUUGUAAACUCAGUUUUACUGAGUCUGGCUCACAGAGGAAAGGGAAAUGGUCCCAUGUGGCCAAACUUUGGCUGGUGGGAGAGUUGGUCACUGUUUGAAACACUAGAAGAGAGCUGAGGAUAUAAAUGUGGUACAGAUGGAAGGGAAGCUGAAGCUUGAGGAACAUCAAAAGAGGAGCUGGAGUCAGGAUUUUCAGGAGUGCCUCUGGACUGGAUGAACUCAGGUGGGAUCAAUUUACCAUCUUACAAGUCACUGGAGGCAGCUGCAGCCUGGUUUGAGUGGGAGGAUCAGGUGACAGUGGGAUCAUCCCUCAUUACAUCAGCUAUCAGGGAACAAAGAUUCAAUGGCCUUGGCCUGCUGAGUCUGCAUCUACCCACACUCUUGCACAAUUCCAAGAUCUGAAGCUUUAGGAAAACCACAAGUACCACAAGGCUGACACAUAUCCAUGAGCUGGCAGCAGUGUGAAGAUGGACCUUGUGAUAAUGUUAAUUCUUUGCACCUCUGGGUUUGUACUGGGAGAUAAAGA